CCAUUGGCUUAAUCAAAUUGAGCCAAUUAGCAAUCAAAUUGCUAAUCGAUCCUUCUGCAACACUUGCACUAGGUUAAAUGUCAAUCAUAUUGAUCAUUUAACCCUAGAAUGAUUCUUAAUCAUUGAUCAACCAUCUGAUCAGAUCAUAAACUCUAAUGUGUGUGACCUCAUAGGUUCGAACCUAAGUCGGUAGUACAGAAAUAAAUUUCUGUACCAAUCGAAGUGACAUCUAGCAAUGGUACC
rnacentral:lncRNA from 1 species